GGAAGAAGCAUGAUCAAGAUGAAUUGUGUCCUGCUAACCGCCUGCAUUGUUCUGCUUGCUUUCUCUAGUUCUGGUUAUGCCCUGAGGUGCUAUCACUGCGAGAACAGCCCUUCCUUGUGCAAGACCAACAGCACUUGCUUAUCAAAUGAAGACACUUGCUUGCAGAUGAGAUUUGGUAAAUUGAGAACAUCCUCCUGCUGGAAGUUGUCUCAGUGCAAUGUGAAUGAUAUUGCUAUAUUCUAUCAGUUGGAUAACUUUGAUUACUUUUGCUGCCAACAAGACUUGUGCAAUGAGGGCGCAGUUACUGGGGUUAACAAGGCAGCUUUCAGUCUUGCUUCUGUAAUGGCCAUGUUAUGGAUGCUUCUGUAGCAAUCCUGGUCUGUAUGCUGUAUUUCCAAGCUGAAACCAUACAAAAUCGUUAUUAACUCUUUUCUCAGUUGUACUUCUUGCACUUUCAGUUCCUAGCUGUGGGCUGAAACAAGGCCUUACAUUUUCAAUUCUUUUUUUUAAGGUUCCACCUGGUAAACUGCUGUCUCCAUUUGUGUCAAGGAGACCAAUAUUGUUAACACUUUCAGUAAGUUUUGGCAUGACAUCUGCUCAGUGAAAAUACCUAAUUCUGGAGUAGUGUUACAUUGUGGAGGACCUGGGCAAACCCUUGAGGUUGAUAUGGAAAUGAAGGAAUAAUGUAUGUUUUAUGAUGGAAAACUGUAAUUUCUUACUGUACCAUGAAUUUCAAUUAAUUUUGAGAUUUUGGUUCUUUUGGAUGCUACCUUUUCAUACACAAAGCAGUGGGUUUACCCUCAACACAGAAAACGUUGAAUCAGAAGCAUAAACUUGCUGCAGUAUUCAUGAAGUAUUUGUUUUUUAGGUGAUGCAGACUCUUUGUUCCUAUCAUGUAACAUUUUUUUUCAUUUAUACAAACCAAUAACAUAAUGAUCAGCACCAUUAUUUUGGAGGAAAGCAUUUAACUUUCUAAAAACAAAACCAAAAUAAUGCUUUUAGUGAGGAAAACUCCUCCUUUUUUUAUAUUUCUGUGGGCAUGCAGAUUACAUAUGCCAGCUUCUUUACUGGGCUUUCAUUUUACAGUUUAGUUUUGCUUAUAUUUUUUCUCCAAGUCUAGAUUUUAAGCUAAGCAUGUGCUUUGCACUAAAUAUUUCUUGGUAUACCAAAAAUUGUUUAUAAAAUGCUAAGGAAUUAAAAUGGCACAUCUAGUUUACUUUUCCAUGUAAUCAGCUUUUGUUUUUGUUGAAACACAUGCACAGGUAAACUUAAUCCUUUAGGCUUCCAUAAGAGCAUUAAACAAAAUUUGCAGACCUUUAUAUUUUGACCUUUGUGCAACUGUAUAAAUGCCAGUCAAAAUACACAUGCAUCUAAAUAGCAUGAAGAAUAACGCUCGGUUUGUGUGUGUACGACUUCUAGAGCUCGAACACUGCACAUUGUUUUGAUUCAGUGGUGGAGACAGACCUUUGGUGCUUCCCCUGGUCUUAGGGAGCCUCUCAGUUAAGUACGAUGCCAAAUUUUCCUUUGACAAGUUUGGAACUUUUAGCAUGCUCUCACAAGAGUAAUGGUCCAUAGCCGAUGGUAUAUUCUUUUCGAGGGCUCUGGCUCGUGCUGUCCAGGGUGUCAGUGACACUGGCUCACUCAGUCAUAACAAAGGCAAGGGACUGCACUGUGUUACUCCAAACCAUCAUGUAUUCUGCAAAGCACCUUUUGGCUAAGCUUACCUUAGCUAUGAAAACAUCCUAGGAUCUCUCUGGUCACUCAAAAUAUGAAAGCUAUGCUGUCUUUGAUUAAUAAAAAUGUAAAAAAGAAAAUGUGAAAAGUGUGG
rnacentral:lncRNA from 1 species